UUGGGUCUGGUUUUCAGCGUCAUGAUUUCCCUCUCCGUGUUUUUUUGCCCUGUUCUUCUUUCUUCCUCUGUAUUGUUUAAGGUUUCUACUAUAGGGUUUGUUAAGAGCAAUUCCUCAAUCACGAUAAUUAUUGUUCAAAAAAAGUCAAGUUACCUUGUUGUCAUGGAAAGAAACAUUUAUCAGAACAAAUUCUUGCAGUUAAUCCAAGCUAUUGCCUUUGGAAAGUAGAGGGACUAAACUCAUCACAAAAGCAAGCUUGAAGGAUAUGAAAUUUGUAAUUGAAGAAGUGGAUAUUUGAAUAACUAGUUUAUUUUUAUUUGUACAUGGCUAUGUUUUGUCCAUUAGCAUCCUUUGGAAACUUAAUUUUAGUGUUUUAUUAAGUCAACGUAUGACAAGUUUGUAUAAUUAUUUCAAUCCUUUUAAUGAAUUUUGU